CAGUAGCCGCGGUAAUACGGAGGGAGCUAGCGUUGUUCGGAAUUACUGGGCGUAAAGCGCACGUAGGCGGUUAUUCAAGUCAGAGGUGAAAGCCCGGGGCUCAACCCGGACACUGCCUUUCAUACUGGGGACCUUGAGUGUGGGAGAGGCGAGUGGAAUGGUCGGUGUAGCGGUGAAAUGCGUAGAUAUCGAUCGGAACACCCAUGGCGAAGGCAGCUCGCUGGCCUAACACUGACGCUGAGGCGCGAAAGCGUGGGGAGCAAACAGGAUUAGAUACCCCCGUAGUCCCUGUCUCUUAUAC
rnacentral:rRNA from 1 species